rnacentral:rRNA from 1 species
UACGGAAGGCAGCAGUGGGGAAUAUUGCACAAUGGGCGCAAGCCUGAUGCAGCCAUGCCGCGUGUAUGAAGAAGGCCUUCGGGUUGUAAAGUACUUUCAGUCGUGAGGAAGGUGUUAAGGUUAAUAACCUUAGCAAUUGACGUUAGCGACAGAAGAAGCACCGGCUAACUCCGUGCCAGCAGCCGCGGUAAUACGGAGGGUGCGAGCGUUAAUCGGAAUUACUGGGCGUAAAGGGCACGCAGGCGGUUAAUUAAGUUGGAUGUGAAAUCCCCGGGCUUAACCUGGGAAUGGCAUUCAAGACUGGUUAGCUAGAGUCUUGUAGAGGGGGUAGAAUUCCAUGUGUAGCAGUGAAAUGCGUAGAGAUGUGGAGGAAUACCGGUGGCGAAGGCGGCCCCUGGGACAAAGACUGACGCUCAUGUGCGAAAGCGUGGGGAGCAAACAGGAUUAGAUACC